rnacentral:rRNA from 1 species
AUACGGAGGGUGCAAGCGUUAUCCGGAUUUAUUGGGUUUAAAGGGUGCGUAGGCGGAAAUAUAAGUCAGUGGUGAAAUCUUGCAGCUUAACUGUAAAACUGCCAUUGAUACUGUGUUUCUUGAGUAUAGUUGAGGUAGGCGGAAUGUGUAAUGUAGCGGUGAAAUGCUUAGAUAUUACACAGAACACCGAUUGCGUAGGCAGCUUACUAAACUAUAACUGACGCUGAGGCACGAAAGCGUGGGGAGCGAACAGGAUUAGAAACCCCGGUAGUCC